GACGAACGCUGGCGGCGUGCCUAAUACAUGCAAGUUGAGCGCUGAAGGUUGGUACUUGUACCGACUGGAUGAGCAGCGAACGGGUGAGUAACGCGUGGGGAAUCUGCCCUUGAGCGGGGGACAACAUUUGGAAACGAAUGCUAAUACCGCAUAAAAACUUUAAACACAAGUUUUAAGUUUGAAAGAUGCAAUUGCAUCACUCAAAGAUGAUCCCGCGUUGUAUUAGCUAGUUGGUGAGGUAAAGGCUCACCAAGGCGAUGAUACAUAGCCGACCUGAGAGGGUGAUCGGCCACAUUGGGACUGAGACACGGCCCAAACUCCUACGGGAGGCAGCAGUAGGGAAUCUUCGGCAAUGGACGAAAGUCUGACCGAGCAACGCCGCGUGAGUGAAGAAGGUUUUCGGAUCGUAAAACUCUGUUGGUAGAGAAGAACGUUGGUGAGAGUGGAAAGCUCAUCAAGUGACGGUAACUACCCAGAAAGGGACGGCUAACUACGU
rnacentral:rRNA from 1 species